rnacentral:rRNA from 1 species
GAACGCUGGCGGCGUGCCUAAUACAUGCAAGUCGAGCGAACGGACGAGAAGCUUGCUUUUCUGAUGUUAGCGGCGGACGGGUGAGUAACACGUGGAUAACCUACCUAUAAGACUGGGAUAACUUCGGGAAACCGGAGCUAAUACCGGAUAAUAUUUUGAACCGCAUGGUUCAAAAGUGAAAGACGGUCUUGCUGUCACUUAUAGAUGGAUCCGCGCUGCAUUAGCUAGUUGGUAAGGUAACGGCUUACCAAGGCAACGAUGCAUAGCCGACCUGAGAGGGUGAUCGGCCACACUGGAACUGAGACACGGUCCAGACUCCUACGGGAGGCAGCAGUAGGGAAUCUUCCGCAAUGGGCGAAAGCCUGACGGAGCAACGCCGCGUGAGUGAUGAAGGUCUUCGGAUCGUAAAACUCUGUUAUUAGGGAAGAACAUAUGUGUAAGUAACUGUGCACAUUUUGACGGUACCUAAUCAGAAAGCCACGGCUAACUACGUG